CAUAUUUCAGCUCCCUACCAUAAACCAUUGCUCUAGAACAAAUAUCCAAGGCAAAAAUAAAAGUUGGCCCUUUGCACUUCAAGCCUUAGUGCCACAGGCUUUGAAAACCUGCUGCAUCAGCCAGGGCCUCGCUUGGGCCUUGCUCAGAAAACAGUUGAACUUUUGUCCUCCCACUGGGAAUGUACGUGGCAAGAUGUGCUUUGCAGCAGUGUAAAGAACUGGGCUGUUCUCUGGAUGCAAUAUGAUAUAAAGAAAAAUCAAGAACGACAGUAGAAACACUCUGUGCUCAAAGUAGGACAGCAUGCCACACCCCGGGAGAAAAACACAGAAGUGUGCGUGCAGCAUAUCUGUGAGGCUGACUGCAAUUUCUCCCAUGCUGUAGGCACGCCAAACCUAGCAAGUCGCCCUGGGAACCACUGCCCGCGGCUGCUGCCGACUAUCGCCAGCCAUCAAAUUGGCAGCAUUUGGCAUCUGCCAGUGAGAGAAGCUGCUAGAUCAAGUGCUGUCGGUUGGACCGUGAGCUUGCUGAGGACUGGUGAGCACUUAGGAAGAUCUUGUGACAGCAUUUUUUGACAACAAACUUCGAAGCCUCUCCAGUUCUUUGUUUUU
rnacentral:lncRNA from 1 species